rnacentral:lncRNA from 10 species
GGGGGCAGGGCUAGGCAUGUCUGAGCUCAGACUCUCCUUGGGCGGGUGUUGCUGUGGCGGCUGUGGGGGAUGGAGGUGAAGUUCCCAGGUCAAUGGAGUUGUGUAUCUAGGAGGAUUAUGUCUGCCUCUGCUGAGUCAUGCAAGCUGUCAGGGAAGCCAGGGAAAGCUGGCAGUCACAGGCUUCACCCAGCUCCCAAAUAGACUGAAGGGCCAGUCUCAUUCCCAUAGUGCCGCCGCAAUAGCCCUGAGUCUGUUUCCAGGAGGUGGAUCAGCUGGCCUUGAAAACUUGCCCCAGGCUACCUGCCUCCCAGCUGCAAAAGAAAAAGCCUUGGUUCUUCCCCUGCCUGUGGAGUGUGCACACCAGAUUCUCACCCUACUUCGAGUUCUGGCCAGGAGGCUUCUCACCCCGUUGAAAUUGUUACAAAGUUCAGCUGGAGAUUUCCUUCUCCCUGGUGUUCCUUGCCCACUCCUCUGGCCACCCUCCCAGUGGAUCCUUCUGGUGCCAGAAAGGAAUGGCCUGCUUGGGGACACAGUGAGCUCCCAGGGCCUUCCUGCUGCUUCCUCUACCCCUGUACUUUGCUCGGCUCUUUAAAUUGACUCAGUUCCAGCAAGCUUACCAACUAGGAAUAAAGAAAGGAAAAUCUAAGAAAGCAAGACUGGAGAAGCUGAAUUCAUGUUUCCAUGUGAUGUUUUUCUUCCAUCUGAAAAACUACUAGAAUUCAGCAAGCAUCUUCAGUCAUGGAAGGACAUUUUGCAAUAUUUGUUGCUGUCAUCAUCAUAAAGAUUACAAAUGAUCUAUUUCCCUGCCACUCAGUGUGUAUCUU